UACGUAGGGGACAAGCGUUGUCCGGAUUUACUGGGCGUAAAGAGCGCGCAGGCGGUCGUUCAAGUCGAGUGUGAAAGCCCCCGGCUCAACUGGGGAGGGGCACUCGAUACUGAUCGACUCGAAGGCAGGAGAGGGAAGUGGAAUUCCCGGUGUAGUGGUGAAAUGCGUAGAUAUCGGGAGGAACACCAGUGGCGAAGGCGACUUCCUGGCCUGUUCUUGACGCUGAGGCGCGAAAGCUAGGGGAGCAAACGGG
rnacentral:rRNA from 1 species